UGCUGGAUGCUGACGAGCGGCGGACGGGUGAGUAAUGCAUAGGAAUCUGCCCGAUAGUGGGGGAUAACCUGGGGAAACCCAGGCUAAUACCGCAUACGUCCUACGGGAGAAAGGGGGCUCCGGCUCCCGCUAUGGGAUGAGCCUAUGUCGGAUUAGCUAGUUGGUGAGGUAACGGCUCACCAAGGCCACGAUCCGUAGCUGGUCUGAGAGGAUGAUCAGCCACAUCGGGACUGAGACACGGCCCGAACUCCUACGGGAGGCAGCAGUGGGGAAUAUUGGACAAUGGGGGAAACCCUGAUCCAGCCAUGCCGCGUGUGUGAAGAAGGCCCUCGGGUUGUAAAGCACUUUCAGCGAGGAAGAACGCCUAGCGGUUAAUACCCGCUAGGAAAGACAUCACUCGCAGAAGAAGCACCGGCUAACUCCGUGCCAGCAGCCGCGGUAAUACGGAGGG
rnacentral:rRNA from 1 species